rnacentral:rRNA from 1 species
UACGUAGGGUGCAAGCGUUAAUCGGAAUUACUGGGCGUAAAGCGUGCGCAGGCGGUGAUGCAAGACAGAGGUGAAAUCCCCGGGCUCAACCUGGGAACUGCCUUUGUGACUGCAUGACUAGAGUACGGUAGAGGGGGAUGGAAUUCCGCGUGUAGCAGUGAAAUGCGUAGAUAUGCGGAGGAACACCGAUGGCGAAGGCAAUCCCCUGGACCUGUACUGACGCUCAUGCACGAAAGCGUGGGGAGCAAACAGG